rnacentral:rRNA from 1 species
UACGUAGGGUGCGAGCGUUAAUCGGAAUUACUGGGCGUAAAGCGUGCGCAGGCGGUUCGUUGUGUCGGCGGUGAAAGCCCCGGGCUUAACCUGGGAAUGGCCGUCGAAACUGGCGAACUGGAGUGUGGCAGAGGGGGGUGGAAUUCCGCGUGUAGCAGUGAAAUGCGUAGAGAUGCGGAGGAACACCGAUGGCGAAGGCAGCCCCCUGGGCUGACACUGACGCUCAGGCACGAAAGCGUAGGGAGCAAACAGG